AUUGAACGCUGGCGGCAUGCCUUACACAUGCAAGUCGAACGGCAGCACGGGAGCAAUCCUGGUGGCGAGUGGCGAACGGGUGAGUAAAGUAUCGGAACGUGCCCAGUCGUGGGGGAUAACGUAGCGAAAGUUACGCUAAUACCGCAUACGAUCUAUGGAUGAAAGCGGGGGAUCGCAAGACCUCGCGCGAUUGGAGCGGCCGCUAUCAGAUUAGGUAGUUGGUGGGGUAAAGGCUCACCAAGCCGACGAUCUGUAGCUGGUCUGAGAGGACGACCAGCCACACUGGGACUGAGACACGGCCCAGACUCCUACGGGAGGCAGCAGUGGGGAAUUUUGGACAAUGGGCGAAAGCCUGAUCCAGCCAUGCCGCGUGCAGGAUGAAGGCCUUCGGGUUGUAAACUGCUUUUGUACGGAACGAAAAGGUUUGGCCUAAUAAGCUGAGCUCAUGACGGUACCGUAAGAAUAAGCACCGGCUAACUACGUGCCAGCAGCCGCGGUAAAAC
rnacentral:rRNA from 1 species